GACGAACGCUGGCGGCGUGCUUAACACAUGCAAGUCGAACGGAAAGGCCCUGCUUUUGUGGGGGGCUCGAGUGGCGAAAGGGUGAGUAACACGUGAGUAACCUGCCCUUGACUUUGGGAUAACUUCAGGAAACUGGGGCUAAUACCGGAUAGGAGCUCCUGCUGCAUGGUGGGGGUUGGAAAGUUUCGGCGGUUGGGGAUGGACUCGCGGCUUAUCAGCUUGUUGGUGGGGUAGUGGCUUACCAAGGCUUUGACGGGUAGCCGGCCUGAGAGGGUGACCGGCCACAUUGGGACUGGGAUACGGCCCAGACUCCUACGGGAGGCAGCAGUGGGGAAUAUUGCACAAUGGGCGGAAGCCUGAUGCAGCAACGCCGCGUGCGGGAUGACGGCCUUCGGGUUGUAAACCGCUUUCGCCUGUGACGAAGCGUGAGUGACGGUAAUGGGUAAAGAAGCACCGGCUAACUACGUG
rnacentral:rRNA from 1 species